CUGUAGUUGUACAUGUCAUUAAGAGACGGUUCGAUAAAUCUUUCAUCGUCAACUCUCUGCAAGAUCAAACGCAAGUGUACAGAGAAGUUUAGGCUCAGAGGCUUCAGUUGCUGUUGGAUGGAGAAAGAAACACCAAAAAAUGGCUGCAGCAGGAGAGAUUAUGAUACUUUAUUUUAGAAAUAAUUUAUUAAAUUUAAUAUCUACAGGCUUGAAUUAAAAGCACAGAGGCAGAGAAUCUUUCAAAUUGAUGACUACAAUGUUUCAACCCAGAUACUUUUUCCAACAACUUAUGUCGGGAGUUCUGCCAUUUCCUGGAGAUUGGUUGAGUGGUCUCAAUUGCUCUACUAACCAUAUAAAUCAAAAUAUUAACAUGUGACCAAUUGGAAAUUUGGGCAACAAGGGCAGAUUGAUAGAUUGUUACAGCUGAAAAAAAAGAAAGCCAAAUCAUUAUCAGGGUCAAAAGAUUGUGAUCAUGGAAAGGAAAAUGAGGAAGGAGGAUGCGGAUUCCUCAAAAAAACGCAAACCGGAGGUUGGAAAUCUUUAGGGGGUAUCUUAUUAUGCAUCACAGGGUCGGUGGCCAUGUUUGCUGAUCUUGGGCACUUUUCUCAGUUGGCUAUCCAGGAUUCAUGAGAUGAUGCAGUCGAACAAAAAGAAACUGUUGUAAAAGUGGCUCACAUCUUCAUACAUGAAAUAAAGCAACUUAAGGUAGAGCAUGAACAACAGGUGGCAGAAUUAGAGAAUGUUCUGCUCAAGUACAAGAAAUAUAUGGACAUCAGUUAGAAACUGCAAAUGAAUUCAUUUAAGAGUAAAUUACAUGUUGUCCCUGAGUACAGCUGUAGAACAAAUUCACAAAAAAUGCUUGCGGGCGUGGAAAGUUGGUCGCCUUUCUGACAAGCCAUCCUGAAGUGAGGGAGGGUGCAGGUAAGGGGUUGUUCCUUGAUUUAAUUUUUGUUGGGAUGUAUCAAAAAAUGACAGACACACAACGCUUCUUUCAUGUUCGAGGUCCCAACAACGGAAGAAACCAUUUCUAACUUCAGUUUCUUCACUCCUUCAGGAUUCUUUCUCUAUAUAAACGUUCAUUUACAAUUGACAUUCUCUAUAUAAACGUUGUAUAUAUUUUCAUACAAUUUGUUUUAUAGUUCUUUUAUCUUUUUUUUGA